rnacentral:rRNA from 1 species
UACGAAGGGGGCUAGCGUUGUCCGGAAUUAUUGGGCGUAAAGAGCUCGUAGGCGGUCUGUCACGUCGGCUGUGAAAUCCCGAGGCUCAACCUCGGGUCUGCAGUCGAUACGGGCAAACUAGAGUAUUGCAGGGGAGACUGGAAAUUCCUGGUGUAGCGGUGGAAUGCGUAGAGAUCCGGAAGAACACCGGUGGCGAAGGCGGCCUGCUGGGCAGAGCUGACACUGAGGCGCGGACAGCGUGGGGAGCAAACAGG